GGUGUUUCAUAACCUGGGACCAACUCAGAAAUAAAGGCCUUUGGAAGGCACAUAAUUAUGACCCAAUUUACAGAGACCAUGUUUAUUUUUUGUGGCAAAGAGGAGGUAUCUAUCUAAGUUUUAAUUACAGGCAUUGAGUGUCUCUAGCAAAAACUGUCAGUUCCAUGGGGUGUUAACAUGAAAGAUCAUUUGGGAAAGCUGGAUUUGCAGAAAAGGAGAGAAAAAGAGAAAUUAGAUGUAUAGAGUUAGAUAUUCUGCACAUAAUUUGCAAAACCUUAAGCUCAUCAAAAGGAGAGAUCGAAAUUUGAUUUAAUGGCAUUGGAAUUAAGUUGCAGAGGAGUACAAUUUAGCUAAAAUAUCACAUUGAUACUUCAAAAAGUUUAUCAGCAAGAAGACUAAAGAAAAAAAAGACUGGCUACGUGUCCAGAUAAGGUUUGCUUUUCUCUUUAUCUUUCUUGGAGAAAAAAAAAAAUCUCUAAAUAUACAUAGGAUUUUGGCCAAGGCAAAAAAUAAGAGGCUAUCUUGAUGCCCUUUGUUCUGUCCCCCUUCCUCCUCUUUCUCUAAACAUAUAUUCAUAUGCAACAUAUUCUUAUCUUCUCCAAGUUAAAAUUGUUUCAGAAUCUUACUUGGACACAUUUAAGUGAUUGACAUCUUUUGCUUAACUGUGCUUUCCAUGAUUUAUUUCCCAUUUUUUUCUGACUUUCCAGAACAGAGUCAUUCCUCGGUUAUGAAACACCAAAAGGAGUUCAUGGGAGAAUACUCUGAAAGAGCUUUUUAUCUCACAAUUGAAAUUAAGUCACAUAAGUGCAGAACAUAACUCUCAUAUCUUGCUCACAAUAAAACUAAACAAAAGAAAGAAAGAAAGAAAAACAACAACAGCAACAACAAAAACCCACACCACGUCAUCCUAUUGUUGCUGAAGGUUCUGGAAAGAGAGGCUGGAAAAGAUAUUUCCAAGUGUUUACCACUUGUGAAUGAAAUCUAAUCAAUAAUAACAAGAACCAUUUCCUUUUGUCUGUGAUUCUGCCCAAGAGUGACUUAGUUUUAGAUAGCCAAUCUUCACCAUAAAUUUACCCUUAACUGAGCAAUACCAUUUAGUGUUGAUAUAAAAUCUUUCAGCAAAUUUGUACAACCUUCAUAUAUAACAGGGUAAAUGGGCAAAUAUCACUGUUUCCUAUUUAUAGAGAUAUCUAGAAACUUGAGCAAAUAUUUGAAAUCAAAAUUACAAUACAUUGUAUAUAUGGAUAGAUGAGUGGAUAAACAGAGCAAUCUAGCCCAGUUCUGAAAUGCUGUGUCUAUACAUCUCUAGCAAACAAACAAGUAAAACACACACACACAUACACACGCACACAAAUAACAUGAAUUAAAGCUACCUAAGCAUGUUUCUGGGAAAUUUCAAGUGAUCUAAAUAUUUAUUAUACUUGACUAACCAUGAUUGCCACUUGGAAGUGGUUAACCUUGAAAACAAAAUAUAUAUACUGUGUGUACAUAUAUAGUCCCUCCCCCAACUGCCACCUUAUAUAAGGCUUCAUUUUCUGUAGUAGUUUCAGUUCGCAGUGGUUAGCCAUGGGCAGAUGUUCCUCCUUUUGAUGAAUCCUCAGAAGGUCAAUGUAAACCUAAUGCUACGUCACUACACCUGUGUCAUUCACCUCACUUCAUCUCAUCAAGAAGGCAUGUUAUCAUCUCACAACUUCACAAAAAGAGGAAUGCGGAGCACUUGGGUGGUUCAGUCAGUUGAGCCACGGACUUUUGAUUUUGGCUCAGGUCAUGAUCUCAGGGUUGUGGGGUUGAGCCCCCUGUCAGGCUGCACACUCAGCAGGGAGUCAGCUUUGGAUCCUCUCUCUCCCUCUCCUGCCCUUCCCCCUUGUUCUCUCUCAAAUAAAUAAAUAAAUAUUUUUAAAAAGUUUAAAAAGAAGAAGGAUGAAUACAGUACAGUAAGAUAUUUUGACAGAGAUUGAUCACAUUCCCCUUUUAUUACAGUAUAUGGCUAUAAUUGUUCAAUGUAUUAUUUGUUAUUAUUGUUAAUUCCUUACUGUACCUAAUUUUUAAAUUAAACUUUAUCAUAGGUAGGUAUGUAUAGGGAAAAAAACCUAGUAUAUAUAGGGUUCAGUACUUUCUGUGGUUUCAGGCAUCUAAGGGGUCUUGGAACACAUACCCUAUGGAAAGGGGGUGGACAUUGUACAUACACAUAUAUGUGUGUGCACACACAGUCAUACACAUACACACUAUGAUUUAUAAUCUUAAGGAAUAUAAUAUUCUAAUUGUAAUUCUGGUCAAAAUAACUAAAAUUCACAUAUUCAAUACUGUAGAAAGAAGGAUGACUAUUUUUUGGACUUGUCAGUGAAAAUCUUGACAUUUUUUUUCCUCCAGCUGGAUUUUUCUAUGGCAUAUUCAUUUGGCAUAAUUUUCUGUAAAUUUUGUAAAAACAACAUAUUAGCUACAUGAUUUACUAAGUCAACUGAAAGAAAUUUUAGAUAUAAUUUGUGGAAGAAAUGAUCUAUGAUGUGACUAUUAUGUUUAAACAUUAGCAAUAAGUUGUUUACAAAAAAAUUAUUGGAAUUAAUUUUUAAAAUAUACCCACUUGCCCAAAAUUUUUUACUUCUUUCAAUUAAAUUAUCUAGAUAUUUCUCAGGUUUCACUGUAGAUCUUUUCCUCAGUAAAAAACCUUUUAUUUUUUUGUUUUUUAUUUUUAUUUAUUUUAUUUUAUUUUUUUUAUUUUUUGUCUUUUAAAUAUUUUAUCUUUUAUUUAUUUCUCUGAGAGAAAGCAGCAGAGAACAAACAGGGGGAGGGACAGAGGCAGAGGGAGGAGCAGGCUCCCUGCUCAAUCCAAUGAGGAGCUGAAACCCAGUGUCCUGGGAUCAUGACCUGAGUCAAAAGCAGGCUUUUAGCUGACUGAGCCACCCAGGUACCCCAGUAGAUAAUCUUUUAUUUCAUUAAAUUCUUUCUCCUGAAUAACAAAGAUGUUUUGUUAUGAUUUAGCCAUAAGGCCCCCAACACAAAAAUACAAUAAUAUAAGGAAGGCUUGAAAGCAGUGAGCAUAGUUCUUUCUCUUCCACACAUAUAGGUGGAGAGGAUAUAAUAUCAUGGAAUAUACUGUGACGUAAUAACUUUGGGCACUGGUUUUUGGUUGCUUGUGUUAUGCUCUCCAGAGUCAGGCAGCUGUAGGUUUGCCUCCUUACACUGCCAGUGAUCUCCUUAGUCCUUAGUUUUCCUAUCAGCAAAUGUGACCACUGUUCUUUAUCUCAUAAUGCUCCUAUGAGUGAUAUAUAAAAUGAGCUGCUGCAUAUAACACAUUUAGCUUAAAGCCUGACAUAUAAUAAAUAUUCAAAAAACGGUAUCUAUAGACAAAGCGACAAAAGGAUAAGAAUUGAUGUGUUCAGAAUCACAAAUCCUCGUUUGCCCUAAUGAAAGCCCACAGGCAAAGCAUUUCUGUGACACAUGGUGAUGCUUUUCCCUUAUUAGUGACCCAAAGCCAGUCUGUGAAAGCACAGUGACUGAGUCUGUAGAACUGCCACUAAGAGAUGUAUAUGAAUACAUGCACGUAUGUACGUAUGUACACGUAUAAAUAUACCUUUUCCAAUUUUUUUUUGUCACAUUAGCUUCUAACCAAAUCACAUUAAUGACAAAAUAAGUAUGUGCUUGCUUUUUUACUCAUUUGUUUGGUUCCUGCCAGCAUAUUCGGGCUUUCUUAGCAACAGGCUGGUCUCUUGCUCCAUAAAUCUAUGUAAUCCAAACUGUCCUGGAGGGACUCAGGCAUGUUCCCAGGUGAGGUCAAAAUCUUGUUUCCUAGUCAGUAAGAGCAGAUUUACUCUUAGUGAGCAGAGCAUAGGAGCAGAUUUAUUUUACUUAUUAAGAAUAAAAGUAAACUCUAGAAAUACUUGUGAAAAUCCUUGUCAAUCUGACAAAUACAAAUACCUCUCAUGUCCCCAGUAGGCUAUUAAACUCUAGGAAAAGAAAUAUGGCCCCUGUCACUGAAUUUACAAUUCCAUCAGGGAGAGAGGAAAAAAGAAAAAAAAAAAAAAAAAAG
rnacentral:lncRNA from 1 species